ensembl:lncRNA
CGUUUUACCAAGUAACCGGAAAGCAUAAACUCCUUUACACAAACAUCUCCCUCAGAUGAAUUUGAAGUGAUGUGAUUUGUUACAGAAUAAUUGCUGGUAUAGUAAACAUUAUUUUACCACAGGACGCAGGUUCAUCAGAGCGAUCGCCGCAGUCAUCGUCCAGGUCCACACGUCCACGAGCUGGGAAUACAGCGUCCGCUCGCACACGAGUACUGAUUCGCAGGACAUGUCCGAGCUGAGGUCAAAGUCAAGCGUGAUAAAUAUUUAAAUGACCAGCGAUUAAACACAGAAAUAUAUCAGAUAUAAAAUAUUAACAUCUUUAACAGAUAAGCAGAGAGAUGUGUGAUGAUAAAAGAAAGAAAUAAAAGUCUAUUUACUAAAAUUCAUCUUCAGCCUGUAGAUGUGUGCAAGUUUAAACGUGUUUAAUCAUGGACAUGUUUAGCUAACUUUGUUGUCAUCUUUGUUUACGAUAACGAACCCACAAAGUUGUAAUCAUCAACAGACUCGCAUGAAUUCAGUUUGUCUCUGAUGUAAACAGGCAGAGUUUCUAUGAGAUGUGUAUACAUGUCCGGUUAUUACAGGCUAGACCAACGCUUAGCAUCAUUUAGCCACCGACACCAUCACAAGACAUUAAGGAUCUUCUAGAGUUACACCAUAUGAAAGUGUUAGUGUAGGCGAAUAACACACGCUCUUUCUUUUAGCAAUAAUCCAGAAUAAUAAGUGGAGAAUAUUUUAGCGAACGUCAGCCCCAUUCCUCAAUACAAUUCUUCAGAUUCUUCAGUCAGAGUGUAACCAAGUAGCAUCAGGUCGCUAGGCUAAUCGAGUGCUUUCUUUACAAAACCUUAAAGCGGUCCAUAAGUGUUACAAUAACGACAAACUACCGCAAUUCCAUUUGGGAGUCCAAAUGCAGGUGCUACAGGUGCUACUUGGGGCGGAGUCCAACUGCAGGUGCUACAGCAAAAUUCCUCUCUGAGCUGCACAGCGCUCAGAAACGAACCACCGCUCUGAUCAUGUCACUGUACAAUCGUACUCUCAGGCGCUGUUUAUUUUCUAUAAUCUUCAUUUGUUAUUUACUUAUUUUUGUAAUUAUAACUAUUUUCAUUUUUAUUUUAUUAUUAUACCUGUUAUUUUUAUUUUAAAUUGUGUAUUUUUUUUAUUCUCCUUUAUUAUUAUAUUGAUGCUUAUAUUGAGGGAAUAUUUUAUGUGAACAAUCACGCCAAUAAUUCUCUGAACUGAAAAAAUUGAGAAACAGCAGAUCUUCUCAAUCUGAUGGCAGAGUCAAGUCUCGCUCUCUGUCUCUCUCUCUCUGUCUGUCUCUCUCUCUCUCUGUCUGUCUCUCUCUCUCUCUGUCUGUCUCUCUCUCUCUCUGUCUGUCUCUCUCUCUCUCUGUCUGUCUGUCUGUCUCUCUCUCUGUCUGUCUCUCUCUCAUACAAGGUGACGAGAGCUUAGAAUUUCACGUGAACUAGAGGAGAAAAAUGUGAGGUUUCCUGCAGAGAUCAUCAGCUAAAGGUCACCUGUCUUGCAGAGAAGUCUUUGGGGGGUUUUGUCCACAGUGUGUGUG